CUAUGGCUCAGUGUGGCUCAGGCUCUUCACAGGAGCACAUCGUGUCAGCGACAGAGACGCUCGUUGGAGCUCCAGGAGAGACCAUCACUCCACUGCACUGCACUGCAAUGGAUAAGGAGGAACCAUCUUAUUUUCUUCCUUACUGAAAAUAACCACAUUGAUCGAUGCUUGAUCUGCCAAAGCAACAUUCACUUUUACGCACGGAUUCUGUGGACGCAUUAAGAGGAUUAACAUUUGCAGCCUGACACACGUGGAGGAGUUUUUAUUAUUAUUUUUAUUAUUGUUGUUAAAACGGGAUGAUGGCAACAGUUGACGGAUUCAACUCUCCAGAUGUGAAUAGUCCUGUAGGAUGUACGGAAAUACUGUCUCUUACAUGGAUGGAUGAGUGGUGUCCAUCACUCCUGCAGCCCAAAUCCUUAUGCUGGACAAGCAGCUUGUCGGACAGACGACUCUCUUGGGUGAUAUCGUGAUAUCGUUAUGGAAAUCGAUAUUUUUUGUGGUGGAUUUUGGCAGUAGCAAAGCAAUAUCAUGGAAUAUAUUUUGAAAGCGGCGCUCGGCAGAUGUCCAGCAAUUUGGUAAUCACAAUACGCAUCUCCUCAUCCAGCAGUGAAAGAAUCCAAAUUCUUGGAAUGAGAUGUCAACAUGGAAUUGCUUCCCAGGGAUCUUCUGGUGAUCUCAGGUGAGCACAGAGAAGAGGCUGAGUAAUGGAAACAUGAUCUCAAGAGAUUCAACAGGAUCAUACUAAAUCCCCGCUUGGACUGUGGACCAGCAUCCCCUGCAGCAGAUGUUUGCUCCUGGCAUGACAGUAUGAGCUCCAUCACUGACAAACUCGCUCUCAGGAUCCAGUGCCAGCAGCAUGGACUUGGAGAAGCUGUGACAUAAACUCAGCAGGACAGUGGAGUGUAAUCUGCAGCUCAGACAUUAUGGAACAGAUCAGUCAACCCUGUCUGGAGAGGUCCUCGGUAGGAAAGUCGGCUCAAUGAAUGUACACUUACCGGAGUUACCACAAUGGAUCUACACAUUGUUUGACUUUUUCUUAAGUGAACCCCGAUUAAUAUUUUCCCAUAUAUGCAUCUGCAUUUGAUAUUCAUUGUUUAUUUGCGCCAUUGCUCAUACACUGCAGUUGUGACAUAUACAGUUUUUAUUCUGGACACAGUAUCAACGAGCUGGAAAUGGAAAAUGAAAGAUUUGAUGUUAUUUUCAUUUUUAGUCCUGUUUUUAGAGACUAAGGCAGCGCUAACACCAGUGCAGUCCCAUAUAAGUUUAUCUGGUGGAGGGCACACCUAAUGUUUCCUAUUGUGUAAAUGAAUUUAUACACAUGUGAUCAAUAUUCCUCAGAUGGAUCACUCAGUCACUGGAAAUGUCAUGUUUUCAUUUGACAUCUUGAAUCUGUGAUCACAAAGAGGCCAUUGUAAUCAAGGUGCUGAUGAAUGCAAUCCAAAAACUUUUCUAUUGACAAUGCAUAUCCUUGUGACACAUUGGCAGCCUGUGUUAAUAAUGGUUAAUGACCCUGACAAGCUGUUUAUUCUAAUGAUGAUUUAUAGCUCCUCAUCCUUUGUUGUGUGUGUGAAACCCUCUUAGCAGAAAUUAAAAAAGUAUAUCCAG